UCUUUUGAACUUAUAAAAGGUGGUACCUGCCCAGUGAACUAGUUUUAACGGCCGCAGUAUUUUGACUGUGCAAAGGUAGCAUAAUAAUUUGUCUUAUAAUUGAAGACUGGAAUGAAGGGUUUUAUGAGAAUAAAGCUGUCUCCUUUACAUAAAUAGAAAUUAUUUUAAAAGUUAAAAAACUUUUAUCAAAAAGAGGGACGAGAAGACCCUAUUAAGCUUUAGUAAAUUAUUUUUAUCAUAAUUUUUUAUUUAAUAGAUUUAAAAUAAUAAUAAUUACUUUGAUUGGGGUGAUCAAGGAAUAAAAAAACUUCCUUUAAUUUAAAUUAGGAUACUAAAAUGACCCAAUAUUUUUGUUUGUUAAACUAAGUUACUAUAGGGAUAACAGCGUAAUUUCUUUUAAAAGUUCUUAUUAAAAAAGAAGUUUGCGACCUCGAUGUUGGGUUAAGAAAACUUUUAGGUGCAGAAGCUUAAAACGUAAGUCUGUUCGACUUUUAAUUU
rnacentral:rRNA from 1 species